GACGAACGCUGGCGGCGUGCUUAACACAUGCAAGUCGAACGGUGAAGCGCCUUCCUUUUUGGUGGGUGUGGAUGAGUGGCGAACGGGUGAGUAACACGUGAGUAACCUGCCCCCUUCUUCUGGAUAACCGCAUGAAAGUGUGGCUAAUACGGGAUAUUCUGGGUCUGUCGCAUGAUGGGUCUGGGAAAGAUAUUGUUUCGGUGGGGGAUGGGCUCGCGGCCUAUCAGCUUGUUGGUGGGGUGAUGGCCUACCAAGGCGGUGACGGGUAGCCGGCCUGAGAGGGUGGACGGUCACACUGGGAAUGAGAAACGGCCAAGACUCCUACGGGAGGCAGCAGUGGGGAAUAUUGCACAAUGGGCGCAAGCAUGAUGCAGCGACGCCGCGUGAGGGAUGGAGGCCUUCGGGUUGUGAACCUCUUUCGCCAGUGAAGCAGGCCUGCCUCGUUUGUGGGUGGGUUGACGGUAGCUGGAUAAGAAGCGCCGGCUAACUACGUG
rnacentral:rRNA from 1 species